rnacentral:sRNA from 1 species
GGCGUGGAGCGGAGAGGUGGAGAAUCUAAGUUCAUUGCAUUGCCCUGCUCCGAUCGAACUCAACUAAAUGUUGCGCUGCGUCGAGGAUUUUGAAUAAAAGGGAACCUGCCGCUCUUAAGUCGAGGCAGAAG